rnacentral:rRNA from 1 species
CACGUAGGGGGCGAGCGUUGUCCGGAAUUACUGGGCGUAAAGGGCGCGCAGGCUGUUAUGCGAGUCUGCUGUGAAAUGUAUCUGCUUAACGGGUACACUGCAGUUGAAACUGGUUUUCUUGAGUGCGCAAGAGGCAGGCGGAAUUCGUUGUGUAGCGGUGAAAUGCUUAGAUAUUAGGAGGAAUACCAGUGGCGAAGGCGACUUUCUGGACUUAUACUGACGCUGAGGAACGAAAGCGUGGGGAGCAAACAGGAUUAGAUACCU